rnacentral:rRNA from 1 species
CCUACGGGUGGCAGCAGUGGGGGAUAUUGCACAAUGGGGGAAACCCUGAUGCAGCGACGCCGCGUGGGUGAAGAAGUAUUUCGGUAUGUAAAGCCCUAUCAGCAGGGAAGAAAGAAGACGGUACCUGACUAAGAAGCCCCGGCUAACUACGUGCCAGCAGCCGCGGUAAUACGUAGGGGGCGCGCGUUAUCCGGAUGCACUGGGGGUAAAGGGAGCGUAGACGGCCGUGCAAGCCAGGAGUGAAAGCCCGGGGCCCAACCCCGGGACUGCUCUUGGAACUGUGCGGCUGGAGUGCGGGAGGGGCAGGCGGAAUUCCUGGUGUAGCGGUGAAAUGCGUAGAUAUCAGGAGGAACACCGGCGGCGAAGGCGGCCUGCUGGACCGCGACUGACGUUGAGGCUCGAGAGCGUGGGGAGCGAACAGGAUUAGAUACCCGAGUAGUC